AAAACAACAGACGUUAAGCAUUUGGGGAGGAUAUCAGCAGAUGCUUUAUCUGUAGUCAAAGCAGAAAUCAGAAUCAGAAUGGAAGUGUUAGGAGGAUUCUCAGUUGCAGAAAGUCUUGCAACGAAUGAAAUCCAGGCGAUGUGUUCCAUGCUGAAGAGUGAUAUUGAGUAUGCUACUUCAAAAAAGUAUAAGGAGUUCAGAGCAAUUAAAUAUACUGACCAAACUGUGAAUGGAAAAAAUUACAACAUUAGGGUCCAUGUUGGGGAUGAACAAUGUACCGAUCUGCGGGUCUAUAAAUCAUUCCCUUCAGAAUCUUCUCUUGGAUUAAGGGAGUUUAGGAUUGGAUGGAAAAUUCUCUCAGAAAACAGGA